UUCGCGGCCUAUCAGCUUGUUGGUGAGGUAACGGCUCACCAAGGCGACGACGGGUAGCCGGCCUGAGAGGGUGACCGGCCACACUGGGACUGAGACACGGCCCAGACUCCUACGGGAGGCAGCAGUGGGGAAUAUUGCACAAUGGGCGCAAGCCUGAUGCAGCAACGCCGCGUGAGGGACGACGGCCUUCGGGUUGUAAACCUCUUUUAGUAGGGAAGAAGCGAAAGUGACGGUACCUGCAGAAAAAGCACCGGCUAACUACGUGCCAGCAGCCGCGGUAAUACGUAGGGUGCAAGCGUUGUCCGGAAUUAUUGGGCGUAAAGAGCUCGUAGGCGGUCUGUCGCGUCUGCUGUGAAAACCCGAGGCUCAACCUCGGGCCUGCAGUAGGUACGGGCAGACUAGAGUGCGGUAGGGGAGAUUGGAAUUCCUGGUGUAGCGGUGGAAUGCGCAGAUAUCAGGAGGAACACCGAUGGCGAAGGCAGAUCUCUGGGCCGUAACUGACGCUGAGGAGCGAAAGCGUGGGGAGCGAACAGGAUUAGAUACCCUGGUAGUCCACGCCGUAAACGUUGGGCGCUAGAUGUGGGGACCAUUCCACGGUUUCCGUGUCGCAGCUAACGCAUUAAGCGCCCC
rnacentral:rRNA from 1 species